GCCAGAGUAGCUCAGUUGGUAGAGCAAUCCCUUCGUAAGGGAAAGGUCGUGGGUUCGAUUCCCGCCUCUGGCUCCA
rnacentral:tRNA from 1 species